UACGGGGGGGGGUAAGCGUUGUUCGGAAUUACUGGGCGUAAAGGGCUCGUAGGCGGCCAACUAAGUCAUACGUGAAAUCCCUCAGCUUAACUGGGGAACUGCGUGUGAUACUGGAUGGCUUGGAUUUGGGAGAGGGAUGCGGAAUUCCAGGUGUAGCGGUGAAAUGCGUAGAUAUCUGGAGGAACACCGGUGGCGAAGGCGGCAUCCUGGACCAAUAUUGACGCUGAGGAGCGAAAGCUAGGGGAGCAAACGGGAUUGAGAAAC
rnacentral:rRNA from 1 species